UACGUAGGUGGCAAGCGUUGUCCGGAUUUAUUGGGUUUAAAGGGUGCGUAGGCGGUUUUAUAAGUCAGUGGUGAAAUACGGCAGCUCAACUGUCGAGGUGCCAUUGAUACUGUAGAACUUGAGUACAGACGAGGUAGGCGGAAUUGACGGUGUAGCGGUGAAAUGCUUAGGUAUCGUCAAGAACACCGAUAGCGAAGGCAGCUUACUAGGCUGUAACUGACGCUGAGGCACGAAAGUGUGGGGAUCAAACAGG
rnacentral:rRNA from 1 species